UACGUAGGGGGCAAGCGUUGUCCGGAAUUACUGGGCGUAAAGCGUGCGCAGGCGGUUUUGUAAGCCAGAUGUGAAAUCCCCGGGCUUAACCUGGGAAUGGCAUUUGGGACUGCAAGGCUGGAGUACGGCAGAGGAGACUGGAAUUCCUGGUGUAGCAGUGAAAUGCGUAGAGAUCAGGAGGAAUACCGAUGGCGAAGGCAGGUCUCUGGGCUGAUACUGACGCUCAUGCACGAAAGGCGUGGGGAGCAAACGAGG
rnacentral:rRNA from 1 species